rnacentral:rRNA from 1 species
UACGGAGGGGGCUAGCGUUGUUCGGAAUUACUGGGCGUAAAGCGCGCGUAGGCGGCUUUGUAAGUUAGAGGUGAAAGCCCGGAGCUCAACUCCGGAAUUGCCUUUAAGACUGCAUCGCUAGAAUCAUGGAGAGGUGAGUGGAAUUCCGAGUGUAGAGGUGAAAUUCGUAGAUAUUCGGAAGAACACCAGUGGCGAAGGCGGCGACCUGGGCCAAUACUGACGCUGAGGUGCGAAAGCGUGGGGAGCAAACAGG